AAGACCCUCUUCGCUACCGCAG
rnacentral:snRNA from 1 species